AAAAAAAACCUUUGUGUGCACAGGUGGAGCACUCAGCAUGACUGAUGCGUGAAACCCAAAACCUUCAGGUGUGAUUAAAGAGCAGAGGCGCCCCGAUGCUAAGACGGAGCCCCCGUACAACUGUGGGAAGCGUCUCCGAUGACACCCAAGGCGUAAUUCGACACUUUUUGCCUUCACCGUCACUCGGAUGAUGGAUGAGAUAAGGGCGCCGCGCACCUCUUGACACCUGCGCUUUUGCAUUUCUGUGCCAUCGGAUCCGAUUAAACGGAUCAUUUUGGGCAGAAUCCGGUUUCACGCCGGGAGUUAGAUGGCACCCGUGAGGCAUGAAGCGCACACAACAUUCUUUUAGUACAAAUAAAUAGUUCAGCCUUUACUUGGUCAAUUCAGUUUAAUUGAUGAUAAGUUAUGAAUCCAGGUGAGGAGUUAUCUUUUAUGGGUCGAUCGCAAAGCUCACUGGCGCUGUCUGAAAACUAAAUGGAAAAAAAAAAUAUAGACCCCAACAGCGGUUUCACCGGUCAUCGGGAAGUUGGGUACCACCCAAAGAGGACGCACAAGAAAGUCUUAACGGGAAGUCCAUCAUUUUGGUCUGAAGGAUUUAAUUUCGAUGAACACCUACUGAAAAAAUUCGCCCAAAUUGAAAUUCUUAUUUCCGACACAGAUGGGUGGUUUUUUUUUAACCUAUGCUGUGUCAACUGGGUAAAACACGACAUCAAGAUUUGAUGAUAAUUUCAAAUAAAUCCCUUUUUUUUGGGGGGGGCGCUUCAACGUGGUGAGAAGUGAAAACCCCUACCCCCCCGUCCCGACCCGAAAAUUUAUUGAGAAGUGUAAAAAUAAGGCUGACGCGAGUUUCACCGAUUGACACGAAAGUGGCACCUGGAAAAAAAAUUCUCAACACACGUCUUGAAAGUGAACAGGAAGUCAACCAAUUUGGUCUGGACCAUCAGUUUUCUAUCAUCAAUUCCAGGACUCGUACUUUUAUAACUUUCAAAUCGGGAUUUUCCCCCAACUGGGUCCUGCUCAGAAUCAGGUAUCCUAACUCUUUGUUUACCACAUGAAGCAGUGCGAGUGAUGCAGGUGGAAGGCGGGUCCGAUUGCAGCAAGUUUCACUGCAAACAGCGGUUGGGGCUUGGAAGCAGGUGACCCCACAGACAAGUGUCAAAAGUACCUCACGUUUAGUUUGUACUUGUGGUAAUUUGGAGUUGUGUACAACCACCUCUACCUCACAUCGAGAGACAAUAGUCACCUUACUUAACUCAUUCAAUGCCACGGACGUUUUUUUUUCUUCGUGUUUUUAAA